GGAAAUGAAAGGCUGAAAUAUAACGAUAAAAUCACAAAUAAACUAAGUGGCAACUCAAGCUGCGGGUGUAUAAAUACCGUCACUCCGACGUUGAUCAAGGAAAGAACCAGGAGUAGCAGAACAAAGAGUAGCAGUUGAAGCUUUUCGCUAAAAUGGCGAGCUCAAAUAUGAAAGAGAGAGAUGAAAUACUUUAUCACGACCUGACCCUCACGGACAAGGUAGUCCUUGAGGGUGAGGUCGUGUCUCACACCGAAGAUAACCUGGUUUUACUGGGCGACACGUGGCCCAGUUGACUCGAGGAAGGACUCUGUUUGACUCCAAAGGGCGAUGCCAUUCCCCAUCGGCAAGGAUCCUUCGGGAAGCGGCUGCGCUGGGCCCAGUCCUGCAGCGACAUCAGCGAGUGCUGCUCUGGUUGCAGCGACGUCCGACCGCUCCCAGGAUUCUCAACAACGUCAUCGGGCUAUCACUCGGGGCGAGGGACCUCCGUGGUCAGCUCCGACGCCCCAACUGGCCCCCACCUCGAAGUCAG